rnacentral:lncRNA from 1 species
GGACUGAAAAUUAAAACAGAAAAUUGGGGUGCGGCCCUCAUCUUUUCCUAAAAAGGGCAUUCCUAUGCCUUAGCACACAAGUUUUGGAAGCCUGAAAAUUCUCCCCUAAAAACGAUCUACAGUAAUCGGAAUCUGAAAUUCAAUUUCAGUUCAAAAGUUACUUUUAGAUAUGAGUUUCUUCAAAAGGAAAACCCAAAAACAAUUGAAGAUUACUGAAAAAUCAAAAACCAACUGUUGUUCCAUUCUAGUUCUUAGCUAAUUUCUAGUUUUAGUUAGUUGAUUUGCACUUCUAGCUCAAAUUCGGUUAGCUAAAGUUCAAAAUUAUUCGUAGCUUGAUUUUGAGUGGAUUUGGAUUCUAAACGAGUCAGUUUUGGGUAAUUUUAUUGGAGUUUUGAUUGCAGCGGUGUCCUUGGAUUUAUGAGUUGGUGUUUGGUUCCAAAUAAAAUCUGUGUUGAUAACUGUUGAUUGCUGGGUAGUCAUUGCUGAUUGCUGCCGCUGAUCUCUAUUCUUAUUUUUAUAUCUUACAUUCCAGGUACACAUCUAUAGCUUCUAAUGAUCAGAAGUUGACUGUAUGGACAAGUCGAUAAUAAUUGAAAAGGAGUAGUCAUGAGUUCACUUUAGUUUAGCAUUAUUAGCUUUUAUUUCCCACCUUAGACUAUUCAUGCCUUGUUGUAAUUAGACUAACUAUUUGGACUGAUAUGCUGUAUUGGACUUGAUAAACUAGGGGAAUUAUCGUUUUGCCCAUGCUUAUGUGAAUGGCAUCAGUUGAAUAUUCAAUUGUGAUUACGUUCCUUAUUGGUUUAUAUUGAGUAAUAUUGUAGUCAGCUGAGGUUAAUUCUAGUAGUCUUUUCUGUUGUUUUCAUGAAAUUAAUUGGCAGUGAUGAAGUGGUAAUGAAGUUUUAAGGCCCUUAUAUCAUGAAGUUAUUUCAGUAUAUAUGAAGUAGCUUAGAAUACUAGAUGAUAUUAAUAAAGGUUAUGAACGAUUAUACCAUGCAAUCAAGGUGAUAGUUUACAUAUUUGAGGUUAUGUCAUACGUAUUCUGUUAAAGCCAACCUUUGCGUUUGAUUCUGUUUAGCUCGCUAA